GGGUUGUGAGGUUAAGCGACUAAGCGUACACGGUGGAUGCCCUGGCAGUCAGAGGCGAUGAAGGACGUGCUAAUCUGCGAUAAGCGUCGGUAAGGUGAUAUGAACCGUUAUAACCGGCGAUUUCCGAAUGGGGAAACCCAGUGUGUUUCGACACACUAUCAUUAACUGAAUCCAUAGGUUAAUGAGGCGAACCGGGGGAACUGAAACAUCUAAGUACCCCGAGGAAAAGAAAUCAACCGAGAUUCCCCCAGUAGCGGCGAGCGAACGGGGAGGAGCCCAGAGUCUGAAUCAGUGUGUGUGUUAGUGGAAGCGUCUGGAAAGGCGCGCGAUACAGGGUGACAGCCCCGUACACAAAAAUGCACAUACUGUGAGCUCGAUGAGUAGGGCGGGACACGUGGUAUCCUGUCUGAAUAUGGGGGGACCAUCCUCCAAGGCUAAAUACUCCUGACUGACCGAUAGUGAACCAGUACCGUGAGGGA
rnacentral:rRNA from 1 species